CGUCUAGGCGGCAGCCUAAGUCCCAUGUGAAAGCUCCCGGCUCAACUGGGAGAGGGCGUGGGAAACUGGGCAGCUAGAGACUCGGAGGGGGGUGUGGAAUUCCCGGUGGAGUGGUGGAAUGCGUUGAGAUCGGGAGGAACACCAGUAGCGAAGGCGGCACCCUGGCCGAGAUCUGACGCUGAAGCGCGACAGCGUGGGGAGCGAACG
rnacentral:rRNA from 1 species